rnacentral:rRNA from 1 species
AGCGUACACGGUGGAUGCCCUGGCAGUCAGAGGCGAUGAAGGACGUGCUAAUCUGCGAAAAGCGUCGGUAAGGUGAUAUGAACCGUUAUAACCGGCGAUGUCCGAAUGGGGAAACCCAGUGCAAUUCGUUGCACUAUCGUUAACUGAAUACAUAGGUUAACGAGGCGAACCGGGGGAACUGAAACAUCUAAGUACCCCGAGGAAAAGAAAUCAACCGAGAUUCCCCCAGUAGCGGCGAGCGAACGGGGAGCAGCCCAGAGUCUGAAUCAGCUUGUGUGUUAGUGGAACGGUCUGGAAAGUCCGACGGUACAGGGUGAUAGUCCCGUACACCAAAAUGCACAGGUUGUGAACUCGAAGAGUAGGGCGGGACACGUGGUAUCCUGUCUGAAUAUGGGGGGACCAUCCUCCAAGGCUAAAUACUCCUGACUGACCGAUAGUGAACCAGUACCGUGAGGGAAAGGCGAAAAGAACCCCGGCGAGGGGAGUGAAAAAGAACCUGAAACCGUGUACGUACAAGCAGUGGGAGCACCUUCGGGUGUGACUGCGUACCUUUUGUAUAAUGGGUCAGCGACUUAUAUUCUGUAGCAAGGUUAACCGUAUAGGGGAGCCGCAGGGAAACCGAGUCUUAACUGGGCGUUAAGUUGCAGGGUAUAGACCCGAAACCCGGUGAUCUAGCCAUGGGCAGGUUGAAGGUUGGGUAACACUAACUGGAGGACCGAACCGACUAAUGUUGAAAAAUUAGCGGAUGACUUGUGGCUGGGGGUGAAAGGCCAAUCAAACCGGGAGAUAGCUGGUUCUCCCCGAAAGCUAUUUAGGUAGCGCCUCGUGAACUCAUCUUCGGGGGUAGAGCACUGUUUCGGCUAGGGGGUCAUCCCGACUUACCAACCCGAUGCAAACUACGAAUACCGAAGAAUGUUAUCACGGGAGACACACGGCGGGUGCUAACGUCCGUCGUGAAGAGGGAAACAACCCAGACCGCCAGCUAAGGUCCCAAAGUCACAGUUAAGUGGGAAACGAUGUGGGAAGGCACAGACAGCCAGGAUGUUGGCUUAGAAGCAGCCAUCAUUUAAAGAAAGCGUAAUAGCUCACUGGUCGAGUCGGCCUGCGCGGAAGAUGUAACGGGGCUAAACUGUGCACCGAAGCUGCGGCAGCGACACUAUGUGUUGUUGGGUAGGGGAGCGUUCUGUAAGCCUGCGAAGGUGGCCUGUGAGGGUUGCUGGAGGUAUCAGAAGUGCGAAUGCUGACAUAAGUAACGAUAAUGCGGGUGAAAAGCCCGCACGCCGGAAGACCAAGGGUUCCUGUCCAACGUUAAUCGGGGCAGGGUGAGUCGACCCCUAAGGCGAGGCCGAAAGGCGUAGUCGAUGGGAAACAGGUUAAUAUUCCUGUACUUGGUGUUACUGCGAAGGGGGGACGGAGAAGGCUAUGUUAGCCGGGCGACGGUUGUCCCGGUUUAAGCAUGUAGGCGGAGGUUCCAGGUAAAUCCGGUACCUUUUUAACGCUGAGGUGUGAUGACGAGGCACUACGGUGCUGAAGUAACAAAUGCCCUGCUUCCAGGAAAAGCCUCUAAGCAUCAGGUAACAUUAAAUCGUACCCCAAACCGACACAGGUGGUCAGGUAGAGAAUACCAAGGCGCUUGAGAGAACUCGGGUGAAGGAACUAGGCAAAAUGGUGCCGUAACUUCGGGAGAAGGCACGCUGAUAUGUAGGUGAAGCCCCUGCGGGUGGAGCUGAAAUCAGUCGAAGAUACCAGCUGGCUGCAACUGUUUAUUAAAAACACAGCACUGUGCAAACACGAAAGUGGACGUAUACGGUGUGACGCCUGCCCGGUGCCGGAAGGUUAAUUGAUGGGGUUAUCCGUAAGGAGAAGCUCUUGAUCGAAGCCCCGGUAAACGGCGGCCGUAACUAUAACGGUCCUAAGGUAGCGAAAUUCCUUGUCGGGUAAGUUCCGACCUGCACGAAUGGCGUAAUGAUGGCCAGGCUGUCUCCACCCGAGACUCAGUGAAAUUGAACUCGCUGUGAAGAUGCAGUGUACCCGCGGCAAGACGGAAAGACCCCGUGAACCUUUACUAUAGCUUGACACUGAACAUUGAGCCUUGAUGUGUAGGAUAGGUGGGAGGCUUUGAAGCGUGGACGCCAGUCUGCGUGGAGCCAACCUUGAAAUACCACCCUUUAAUGUUUGAUGUUCUAACGUGGACCCGUAAUCCGGGUUGCGGACAGUGUCUGGUGGGUAGUUUGACUGGGGCGGUCUCCUCCCAAAGAGUAACGGAGGAGCACGAAGGUUAGCUAAUCCUGGUCGGACAUCAGGAGGUUAGUGCAAUGGCAUAAGCUAGCUUGACUGCGAGCGUGACGGCGCGAGCAGGUGCGAAAGCAGGUCAUAGUGAUCCGGUGGUUCUGAAUGGAAGGGCCAUCGCUCAACGGAUAAAAGGUACUCCGGGGAUAACAGGCUGAUACCGCCCAAGAGUUCAUAUCGACGGCGGUGUUUGGCACCUCGAUGUCGGCUCAUCACAUCCUGGGGCUGAAGUAGGUCCCAAGGGUAUGGCUGUUCGCCAUUUAAAGUGGUACGCGAGCUGGGUUUAGAACGUCGUGAGACAGUUCGGUCCCUAUCUGCCGUGGGCGCUGGAGAAUUGAGGGGGGCUGCUCCUAGUACGAGAGGACCGGAGUGGACGCAUCACUGGUGUUCGGGUUGUCAUGCCAAUGGCAUUGCCCGGUAGCUAAAUGCGGAAGAGAUAAGUGCUGAAAGCAUCUAAGCACGAAACUUGCCCCGAGAUGAGUUCU